rnacentral:rRNA from 1 species
CAGCAGCCGCGGUAAUACGGAGGGUGCAAGCGUUAAUCGGAAUUACUGGGCGUAAAGCGUGCGUAGGCGGUUCGUUAAGUCUGUUGUGAAAGCCCCGGGCUCAACCUGGGAAUGGCAAUGGAUACUGGCGAGCUAGAGUGUGUCAGAGGAUGGUGGAAUUCCCGGUGUAGCGGUGAAAUGCGUAGAGAUCGGAAGGAACACCUGUGGCGAAAGCGGCUCACUGGACCAUUACUGACGCUGAGGCGCGAAAGCUAGGGGAGCAAACAGGAUUAGAUACCCCCGUAGUCCCUGUCUCUUAUAA